GGGCGGGUAGCUCAGUUGGUUAGAGCACUGGCCUUACAAGCCGGGGGUCACAGGUUCGAGACCUGUUCCGCCCA
rnacentral:tRNA from 1 species